UGUCUGUCGAUGAGGUUUGAUGUGUGGGACUGGCCUGGAGCAAUAACAUGUCUUUAUUGGCCAUGGUCAAGAGGACUGGCCCACAAGGCAUCCAUCCACCACCAUUCAAGGAGACACCAUGGAUGCCUCAGAAGAAGCACUGGUAAGGCUGUCUCCUGCACCCUCCACCAGCUGAGAUCCUGACACUUUGUCUCUGUCCAGGUGCAAAUGCAACCUUGAAGGUACAAUCUUAUCCCGAGAUGAUGUUCCAUGGACCAAGGAGGACUCGGAUGCAAAGCAGCUGUAACAGGGUUCUGGCACUAACCUAACAAAGGAUGAAUAUGUAUUUAUCUGCAGC